CCACAACAAGUUCACUGACCUUUACCAUGAACUGAUUAAUUUAUAAAAGUUGAAAAACGUAUUCGGGUGUUACCAUUUAGUGGUCAAUUGUACGGAAUAUGUACUGAACUGUGCAAUCUACUAAUAAAAGUUUCAAUCAAUCAAUCAAACCUCCUUGACUAACAUAGUCUGUCCAUAAACAGUGCAGUGUGCAGUACUCACCACAGGAUGGCAGUAGUGUUAGCAUGUGAUCCUGUCCAAACAAAGAAACAGGAAGUUGCAGUAGAAGGGGGAAGGUAGAAUUCCUAGUUGAGUCGUUCAGUUGAUGAAACAACACAGCAUAAUCAUGGAAGGCUUGGACUGAGGUAAAAUGGUCAUCAUUGUGUGCAUGUACAUUAUGCAUGACACGACUACCACUACAAAGAUGUGGGUACUUGCAGGUUACUGUGGUAGGCGCGUGGACUGCGGACCAGCAGCAAAGCUGGGUGUGGCAGAACCGGCUUUGAGAUUAGCGACAGGCCGCAGUCGGGAAGGAGAAGGUUGUUGGUGGUACCGAGAGUGAGAUACAGUGGCUGAAAAGCACAUAAAGAACAUUUAUUGAAAAAUAAAAAGUGGCAUCACAAAUAUGA